UACUAUAGCUAUGCCACCCUGAACAAGCCCAAUCCCGUCUGAUCUCGGAAGCUAAGCAGGGUCGGGUCUGGUUAGUACUUGGAUAAGAGACCACCUAGGAAGACCAGGUGCUAUAGCCG
rnacentral:rRNA from 1 species